rnacentral:rRNA from 1 species
CGGGAAUAUUGCGCAAUGGAGGGAACUCUGACGCAGCGACGCCGCGUGAGCGAUGAAGGUCUUCGGAUCGUAAAGCUCUGUCCUUGGGGAAGAAGGUCUUCGGACUUGACGGUACCUAAGGAGGAAGCCCCGGCUAACUACGUGCCAGCAGCCGCGGUAAUACGUAGGGGGCAAGCGUUGUCCGGAAUUAUUGGGCGUAAAGGGUGCGUAGGCGGCCUUUUAAGUCAGAUGUGAAAGCCCACGGCUUAACCGUGGGACUGCAUUUGAAACUGGAGGGCUUGAGUAUCGGAGAGGGUAGUGGAAUUCCCAGUGUAGCGGUGGAAUGCGUAGAUAUUGGGAGGAACACCAGUGGCGAAGGCGACUACCUGGACGAAAACUGACGCUGAGGCACGAAAGCUAGGGGAGCAAAC